UACGUAGGGGGCGAGCGUUGUCCGGAUUUAUUGGGCGUAAAGAGCUCGUAGGCGGCUGUUCAAGUCGAACGUGAAAACUCGGAGCUCAACUCCGAGCCUGCGUUCGAUACUGGGCGGCUAGAGUCUGGUAGGGGGACCUGGAAUUCCUGGUGUAGCGGUGGAAUGCGUAGAUAUCGGUAGGAACACCAGUGGCGAAGGCGGUCUCCUGGGGCAUUCUUGACGCUGAGGCGCGAAAGCUGGGGGAGCAAACGGG
rnacentral:rRNA from 1 species